rnacentral:lncRNA from 1 species
AUGCCACUCAGAGAGACUAAUAGGCCUCUUUCAGUGAGUAAAAUCUGGAGAAAAUUCACUGAGAUGAAGACUUUCCAAAAUGAAAGCUCUGAGCCUGGGCAGAUCCUGAAGCCCCAGGCUGGUCUCCUGAGAACUCCCUUACCUGAGACCCCAGCAAAGCAUGGGACCAAGAGCACGGAAGAAGGAACUGCCUCAACAGCUUUGACAACGCACUGCCAUCUGUCUUGACUCUAUGUGAUGCAAAAUGCUUCCUGGAGAGACGAAGCUAAAGAGAAUGGCAGAGUGUUACAGGCAGAAUGAGAAAUGGCCCUUAGCUGGGCGUGAUGAAGAGGAGCCCUGCAUGUGAAAUAUUGCUGCUGUCACCAGGAGAGAGCUGCAGUGAAUAUGUAGGCAGUUUGUCAUUGGGAGAAUUGAUUCAGCCCUCUCUAGGGCUCCACGCUCAACGAAAACAACUGGUAGCGACCAUUUCUCUACCUCUGUCUGCUGCUGGCUAGCUGUGCCACCUUGGGUGAGGCCAUCGCUUAGGACUCAGUUUCUUCUUAUGUCAAAAAGGGGUGCUGGAUUAAAUUAUUUCUGAAGUCCUUCUCUGGCUGACAUUGCGUCUUCCUAUCCUCCCAGCUCUGACCUUCCCUGUCCUAAGGCCCCUCCCGGCCCUGACAUCUCCUGUCCUAAGGCCCCUCCCAGCCCUGAGACACCCUGUUCUAAGGCCCCUCCCAGCUCUGACAUUCCCUAGGACCCUCCCAGAUCUAACAUUCUAAGCUUUAUAGUCCCUUCUAUCUGUAACAUUCUACAUGUGUCAGACUAAGUCCUA